UCGAGGAUCUUCGGCAAUGGGCGCAAGCCUGACCGAGCGACGCCGCGUGUGCGAUGAAGGCCUUCGGGUUGUAAAGCACUGUCGAGGGGGAGGAAAGCCGCAAGGUCUGACCUAUCCCUGGAGGAAGCACGGGCUAAGUUCGUGCCAGCAGCCGCGGUAAGACGAACCGUGCGAACGUUGUUCGGAAUCACUGGGCUUAAAGGGCGCGUAGGCGGGUCUCAAAGUCCGGGGUGAAAUCCUCCAGCUCAACUGGAGAAGAGCCUUGGAAACUAGAGGUCUCGAGGGAGGUAGGGGUCCGUGGAACUUCGGGUGGAGCGGUGAAAUGCGUUGAUAUCCGAAGGAACGCCGGUGGCGAAAGCGACGGACUGGAUCUCUUCUGACGCUGAGGCGCGAAAGCCAGGGGAGCAAACGGGAUUAGAUACCCCCGUAGUCC
rnacentral:rRNA from 1 species